rnacentral:rRNA from 1 species
UUUUGAUUUUUUAUAAAAAAUGUUUUCUGCUCAGUGAUUUUAAAUAGCCGCGGUACUUUGACCGUGCAAAGGUAGCAUAAUCAUUUGCUUUAUAAUUGAGGGCUUGAAUGAAUGGAUUUACGAAACGUAAGCUUUAUUUUUAUAGUGAUUAGAAUUUGUUUUUUAAGUGAAGAAACUUAAAUGUUUUUUUGGGACAAGAAGACCCUUUUGAGCUUUAUUGCUUUUUAUUUUUAUUACAUUUUGGCAAUUUGAUUGGGGCGAUCUAGGAAGACAUAAUCUUCCUUUCUAAAUAAUGAUCCAAUUUUUUUGAUUGAUAGAGUAAGUUACCAAAGGGAUAACAGCGUAAUUUUUUUUGAGAGUUCUUAUUAAAAAUAAAGAUUGCGACCUCGAUGUUGACUUAUAGUUUCCUUUUGGUGUAGCCGCUAAUAGGGUUGGUCUGUUCGACCAUUAAAACUUUACGUGAGUUGAGUUCAGACCGGCGUAA